rnacentral:tRNA from 1 species
AACUUUGGUAGAGUAAUGCCAUGGUAAGGCAUAAGUCAUCGGUUCAAAUCCGAU